GAACAUUUUAAAGAAGGUGAGUUAGAAUUAAAUUAAUGUAAGACUGAACUUGCAUUGAAUGUAUAACUGAGCAUAGAGGCAUAUGUAGAUAGGUCUCUCAUGACAUAAUAGGUGAAUCAGGUAAGGUUUAACCUAACCUAACAUGAAAUGGCUAUGUUAAGUCAGAAUUUCUAAAAGUUUUGAAAGUAAAGCGAAAGUGAUAGAAUCAAGCUAAAAGCUAAUGUAAACUAAGUUUACAUUGGUUGUACUGAAUGUAUAUGAAUGGUUAAUAUAUAUAACUGAUGUGUAUACAUGUAUAUGAACCAAAUUGGUGUAGGUUACGCGAGGAGCAGAUAACUAUAUUAUA
rnacentral:lncRNA from 1 species